GACUGAGAGAACAGUUGUAAGCAUUCCAAGAACAAGGGUACUUGUUGUUACUGCCUUUGAUUUGUUAUGGAGCCCAUUGCAGACAUAAUCUCGAGGCUCACUAGAGAGACCACUAUAGCAAACAUAAGCACAGUAAACAGAUAUCACAGAAGCUGGCAAUAGGCUUCCAUUUACCUUUGGGUGCAAAGCAAUAACAGCAAAUGCAAAAGCAAGAAUCAUGGUCAUAACAAUGAAGAACACGUUCAGUCCACAGUCAUGUCCAGAAGGAUUGAACCACAUAAAUAAAAUUCCUGAAAAAACAAAUGUUGCUAUGUAGCACGCCACAGAUACCACAAGUAGAGCAACAUACCACUUCUGCUCAUCUUUUGCAACCCAUGAAUCAUUCCACGAGUGUGUAGCAUCUAAUAAUAUUAUUACUUGGAUUAACAAAAAGAACCCUGCCCCAAAUUUCGAAAGAAAACCAUAAAUUGUUAUGACACCGUUCGGGAGGAAAAACAUGAGUGCAACAAGCAACACCCAGAUCACCAAUUUAGCAACCCAUCCACCAUGAUGCAAACAGUCGCGCCUAUCAUUUUGAUCCUUGAUACCAAUCAUUAUAAGUGCAAGCACUCCAAAAAACAAGAAAUUCCCCAAACUGACACGAAGAACAGCUUGUGCUUGAAACCAUUCCUUCGAUAAAUUGUCCGAAGUGUUUAUCCAUGAGAAAUUCUUGAGGAGAGGAGAAGCGACUUCUCUGAUAACCCAAGAGACGAUCAAAGAAACACCAAAUAGGCCACAAUAAGCAAGUCUAGCUGAGCUCCUGGUUACACCGGAGGCUACCGAUGUGCAGAGUCCGCAUGUCAAUGACGCACAGCACGAUGCCAAGCACGACAUCUCGCACUUCUCUCCUUCCGCGUGUGUUGCACUGCAGAG
rnacentral:misc_RNA from 1 species